rnacentral:rRNA from 1 species
GACGUAGGGCGCGAGCGUUGUCCGGAUUUAUUGGGCGUAAAGAGCUCGUAGGCGGCUCGUUGCGUCGGCUGUGAAAACCCGCAGCUCAACUGUGGGCUUGCAGCCGAUACGGGCGGGCUGGAGUUCGGUAGGGGAGACUGGAAUUCCUGGUGUAGCGGUGAAAUGCGCAGAUAUCAGGAGGAACACCGGUGGCGAAGGCGGGUCUCUGGGCCGAUACUGACGCUGGGGAGCGAAAGCGUGGGGAGCGAACAGG